AUGCUUCAAGUGUCAUUGAUGAGUACAUUUGCACACUCUGUAUGUCUAUGUUCCCGAUGUCCGUUGCAGUUUGCAAUGCAAUCCUCAAUCUUUUUUUCAGUGAAUAAAUGUCAUUAUUUAUGCGCAGCAAAUGGCUCGAGUAAGUACUCUCGGUUUAGCGUGGUAUCCAUUGUACCUAGAUUGAUCUCAGGUGUUAUACUAACAUUUGUAGUCUAUAUACUAUAUCAAACCGGAGUUACUUUAGGCAUUAACAAAUGCAAACUGGCUUCCACUAUAUGGAAUUUGUUUUUUAGUGUUGAAGAAAUAUAUCUUGAGAGUUCAGAACUAUGCCGAGCUUCUACUACUGACCGUUAUGAAAGAGCAUAUUAA
rnacentral:rRNA from 1 species